AGCUGAGCUUCCAUCCCGUCUCACACUGAGCUGGUGCUUCUCCACAGGUGUCUGAUCAGGAGGACGUCUGACAUCCUCUCCAAGUAUCUCCCUGUGAAGAUCGAGCAGGUGGUCUGCUGCAGGCUGACUCCUCUGCAGACGGAGCUCUACAGGCGCUUCCUGAAGCAGGCCAAGCCCACAGAGAAGCUCCAGGAAGGGAAGAUCAGUGUCUCCUCGCUGUCCUCCAUCACCUCGCUCAAGAAGCUGUGCAAUCACCCCAGCCUCAUUUAUGAGAAGUGUGUGGAGGAGGAGGAGGGCUUUGAGGGGGCGCUGGACCUGUUUCCUCCUGGAUUCAGCAGCAAGGCGCUAGAACCUCAGCUGUCUGGUAAGGACCUGCUGGAUGGAGAGGU